AAGACCUCUAAAAUCAUUGGGUCCAACCUUUGACUGAACACCACCAUGCCAACUAAACCAUGGCACUAAGCCCCUAAUACUCAUCAGAUUUUUGAAUAUCCAAGUAGUUUCUUGAACACUAGCAGAGUUGGUGACUCCAUCACUGCCCUGGGCAGCCCAUUCCAAUUCUUAAUCAACCUUUCAGUGAAGUAAUUCUUCCUGAUGUCCAGCCUGAAGCUUUACUCUUCAGAAAUGAGCUUUACAAAAGGUGAGGACCGAAGGCUGCCUACUCUUGCACUUUGAAAGAAGAGAUGGAGUAAAUGUAGGCUGUGUAGCUGGAAAUACAAAGACAGACACUGAUGCCAUUUCUGCCAUACAUAGUGGGAAGGAUAGAGGUACCAACUACUGGUUUGAGAGGUUUGUUCUGUGUUUGUCUGUUGUGUAAGAGAAAUAGAAAUCUCCACAGCUGGUAUCCACUGUAGUCCCACUAGUGUUCUGCACCACUCCAAGGACUGACACCAGGAUGGAGCCACAGCUCAACACAUUCAGAGCUGGGAACAGCUGCCCCUUACAGUUCUGCCCAAACCACAGCUGCUACCCCUCCCCAGCUGUGAGGAAAGAAGCACAAGGAGAACACCUGGUGAGCAGUGCGAAAGUUAAAUGCCCAGGCAGGGAUCAAGGGGCACACAAGGGAAAAAAAAGCACCAUGUCCUGAGCAGCAUCCAUUUCUACCAGCAGAGAACUAGAGACAAGAGAAUGGACUCAUGGCAGCUGGGAUUCCCAUCAGUGUUUGCCAGCAGGAGAACGUUUGUCCUAAUCCGGCCACCCUUGACGACAUCUCAGACCAUAGGGAGGAUCCACAGACCCUUCCCAGGCGAGGAAGGAGCCUGGCCAAGGAUUAGAGAAGAUCUAAAGAGGAGUUUAAAAGCAAUUCCUCUUUUGAGAAGACCAACAGUAAGGAGUACAAUUUCAACUUUAUUUUCCUGUGAUGACAGUAGAGAUAUUUUUCUUCUAUCUUUUCAAGAUGUUCCAUGAUAGGUUAAGACAUGGAAAUCUUACUUCCAAUUCCAGUUCCAGUCAAUAAAUAAAUAUUGGUCCACUGUCAUGAAACAACUACCAAACAAGUUAAUGUUCUGAAAUUUGAUUUCCAGCACCCAGGAUCCUGAACACAAUUAUGGAAGCCUGAGAAGAAACACAGAGUCCACCAUCAGACAGUUUUGUUGGCAUUGAUUAUUUUCUUUCAUACCCUUCAUUAUAUACAUCUUCUUUUAGCCAUAAGUAUCAAGCAGAUUUUUUAUAUCAGUUUUUCGUUAAUGACUAUUCCAUUUGCUUUAGAAGGAACUUUGGAGUUUCAUGAAGGCCGCCAAAGCAGGUCAACAGACUGACUGAAAAAAUAGAAAAAUCCAAUGGGGAAAAAAAGAAAAGGCUUUUGCAACUUUGCAAAAUUCAAAUAUAAAGCAUAGAAAAGUCGGAAUGGUGGGUGUUGGAGGUGUGGAAACACAACACAGUGAUUUUGUCUUCUAACAGUCACUUUCCAAAGUUUUUUACUGCCUAAUUGGGCAUUUUUGGAGAGGUCCUGAGCUCUCUUUCCUCCUAGAGCUAUGAGAACAUGACUGAACUUCUAGAGCACUUUACAUUGGUCUUGAGUGACUCAGAUCUACCCAUGCUAAUGGCUGACCCAUAAAACCUGUCAAUUUAAUUAACUACAGCUCUUCUCUAUUUUACUUCUAGAUUUGGGAAAUUGAAACAAAAUCUCUUUAAUGUUACCAGAAACUUAUUAUUUAUUUGUAUUUUCUCAUAACUGAUGAUCAGGAAUGCAUUUCUGCUUUUCAAAUGUCAGUGAGACCUCUCACUAUUUUUGACAUCCCUGUUAAUCAUGGCGACAGAUCACCAAAGACAUGCACCAGAUUCUCUGUUUUCAGUCUGGGGAUAACAUGUAGCACCAUAUUAUAUAGCCUUUCACUCAUUCCAGAAUUUAAGUCAUUCUACCAUGAUAUGCUAAUAAAAAACUUAAAGGUUGUGCUUACUGAAGAUUUUACCCAGGACCAAGAGUUUCUAGGAAAACAUUGUGUUCAAUCUCCCACAUCUGAUGCAGAAAUCUGAUGAGACACUGUAAGCACUUCAUAUGAUUCAGUUCUCCAGGUUGCCAGUACCUUGUGACUGCAGUAUCUAAAGACAAGGAAACUAGAAACUUAGAAUAUUUGGUUCUAGAAAUCACUGAUAAAAAAUUUAAAAGCAGAAUUACAGAAUCAUGGGGCAUCGGAAGUUAGGUCUGACGAUCAUCUGGUUUAACAUCACACACAAAGUAGGGCCAGAUUCAAAGCUACAGAAGGUUGCUCAAUGACAUCUCUGGUCAAGUUUUCAACAUCUGUAAAGGUGGAGGAGACUCCACAGUUUCUGUGAAGAAUCUGUCUCCAUGUUCCAGCAAUCUCUUCAUACCCCCAGGAACUUAGUUUUAAUUUCAAUGGAGAUUUUUUGAGAUUUCUGAAAGUGUGAAGGAAAUUUCUAACAGAAGAACCUAUGGAAAGCUCUUGCUCAGAAAGAUACUGGGAAUGAAUGAAUGGUGAAACUUUGCCUAAUUGCAACUGGAUGGGGAUUUAAUUCUUGAAUUCCACUUGCCAGUCAGUCUAAACCUUAGUCUGAACAUGCCACUUAAUCCUCAUUUUCCUCCAUACCACGAGGUAUGAAACAAAAACUAAAAAAUGUUUAAAAAUUAAUUAAUAUUAGACCUCCAAAAUUUCAUGACACAGGCAGUAAAAAUCAUUCCUCUGUACUAGGUGAGCCUGGAACCUGCUCCAACAAUGACCUGCUUUAAUAUGGCAACUCCAUGAGUUUCAGUUUCAGUUUCUUCAGAGAUUUACAUCUCCCUUUCACCAUUACAGCUCAGAGGAAUUAGUGCAGUGAUAGGAGUAGAAAGGCAGAAAUAAACUACUUUAAAAACUUCAAAAGAGCAGGAAUAGUGAGUAUAGGUUGCAAAGAUUUGCACACACAAAAAAUCUGUAAUUCUAGUAUAACAAGUAUAGUGGCUAAUUUGUAACUUCAGUUUGUAAGGACACAAAGAAUGUGGAACAAAACAGAAAAAAAAAUCUGUAUCUGUUACUAGUGGUGCAAUGUAGCUAGAAAGUGAAGCCAAAUACACAUUCAAAAGAAAAAAAAUAAUAAACUGCAAUGUUUCACCAAAUUAGCAGUUGGGUGUCCAUCUCUUGAAAGCAGUUUGACUAAAUCAGAAAUAAAUUCAGAAAGUUCUGAGGGCAGUAUUAGGGCAAAAAUAUGAUUAGACUAUCACAAUGGUCAUUUGUGCUCAUUUCCAAAUGUGGAAAACACUGAAUUGCAAUUAGAAUAAAACAGUCUUGUUAAACUGGGAAAUAGUCUCUCUGGGCAUAUACAAGAGUCCUUUUCAUUUGACUAUUUAAAACAGAACUGAAUUAUCUAGGUGUAUUAAAGAUAUAUCCUGUCUUUGUCAUGUUUGGGUGGGUGGAGUAAGUGCUUCCAGUUCUAAUGUUAAGGUACAAAGCUAUUAGGGGGGGUACACAGCUUCCAGUAAUGGGGACAGGGAGGGAGGAGGAAGGCUGGAUGUUCCUUAUCUCUAAAUGCUGUGUCCCAGAUAAAGCUUGAACAUAAUAUGAUGCUUCUGAGCUCCACAGGCAAAAUAUUUCUAUUGCUUACAUAGAGUUGUCAAAAAACAGCACCGACAGAAUAAAGCAAUUGGAGACAGAAGGAAAACAAAACUGAAAUUUUGUUUCCAUUCCAGAGUUUUUAGUGUUGCAACCAUGAUCUAUGGCUCCUAACAAUAUUCCAGGCAGUAGCUGUUAAAUAAUGUUGCAUAAAUCCAUUUAUACCCUUGGCAGACCAGUAUUCCCAAGAGGCUCCUGUUCCAUGUUUCUUCUUUCCAGGACAGGACAGAGUUUUAUAAUGUUAUUUCCAGGGCAUUUAAAAUCACAAAUCUAACAGUGAAAUAAAUAUUUGUUUUGCAACCAAACCUUGAUCUCUGCAGCAGAUACCUUCCAGUUCUAAUGUUUUUCUUCCAAUCAGAAGCUGACUGUAGGCAACUGAUCCAAAUCCAAGAUUCAGUGAUGGAGUAUAAGCCUCUGUGACCUGCCGAGUAUUUUCCCUUCCACUUCUUUAAACCCCAAAUUAUUUAAUACUCAUUGCUGCUUCCCAGCAGAAUGGUGUGUGGCCAGCUGUCCACCAAAUGAGACAAGAAAAUCAUCACUUUCUGUGUCGACUGGGGUCACACAGUGGUUUCUCAGAAGCAGCAUGAUGUCCAUCAACUGACCUCCCACUUGGAUGGAACAUAACUAUGUAUUCAGAUCACUUUAUAAGUGCUACUCACUUAGGAACAGUGUUUGAGCAUUGGCACCUGCAGAUAUAAUAUCUCACUCCACCCCCACUCAAAGGCCCCCACUUUCUGCAGGAACUCUGCCCAAGGACAGAUGGAUGCUGCAUAGUCCAACAGCUGUGCUGCCAGAACACAGAUUAUUACGCUGGUGACUCUCAACAGGACACCUGAAGCACUAUUAAUCCUUGACACCUAUUAUUUUAUUUUCCUAUGCUGAAUUUUUACAAUUACAUCUCAUGAAUACUAAUAUCUGCUUGGUAAUUAAAAACAAACAAACAAAAAAUCAUAACAUAAUGAUACUAAAUUGUCUAAAUAAGCACAGAAAGGAGUUGUGUCCUAGAAGUGCUACUUGUCUCUAUUCAGUAAAAUUGAAUUGUUGAAUUGUGAAUGUUGUGAUAUAUAAAAUUUGCUGCUGAACUUUCUAACAUAACAGUACUAUUUAAUGCCACGGAAAUACACAUAAAGUUCACAACAGUAUUCUGAUCUGUGGACUAAGAGAGGAAAGGACAGGAACCUUUCUAAGAUGACCCCAAACAGAUUUCCUUCUGCAGCAGGAAAAGCAAAAAGAAGCAGGGAGGAAACAUAGUGUCCAGAUACGGGCAAUGUUGGUUUGGUUUUAUUUUCAAAGGAAUUUUUAUUUUGCCUUUCCCCUGAAAUAUAAACUUUAGAGUAUUUCAAGAAUUUCUUGAUUAUAUUUAAAUACGACUGGAUGAGCCAGAUGCCUGAGGU
rnacentral:lncRNA from 1 species